GAUAAUCUGUACAAAAAAUUUAAUAACUUCCCUCGUCACACAGAUACCUAGAUAUCAUUUUUCCUCUCUUACAUGAGUUGUGUAGUUCCAUCGUUUGAGAACAUUUUGUUUAGCGCCUUAUUGUGCAUUAUACAAUUUGCAUUCCAUUCGUGAUUUGAUAUCAAUACCGGUACAGAACUGAAUGCGACGAGACAGUUACAAGUUGGAUAAAGGUAGCUGUUCCUUGAGUGUGUUAGAGCUGCAGUCACAUCAACUGAAUGAUUGGCAAUAAAACGAUGAAUUGGGCUGAAGGUUCUGGAUCAUAAAUCCAGUAGUCUUUCUAUAAACAUUGUUUUAUCAACAUAUGCCAUUCCCUUAGUUCUUAUUGUUUAAAUAAGAACUGAGGGAAUGGCAUAUGUCGACAAAACAAUAUUCAUAGAAAGACUACUGGAUUUAGGCAAGCCACCAUACAUUUUACUCACCCGUUCUCGUCGGGUUGGAAAAACUACAUUUGCAGAGAUGUUAUACCACUUUUUUUCCGCGGAUAGAAAACUUUUUAAUGACACGUACAUCGCCAAACGAUUUCCCGAGGAAUGGACGAAAUAUCCCGUUAUCAAAAUAGAUUUCAGUUUUGUACAGACCAUUAACACAAUCGCUGAUAUCGAUGUGUAUAAAAAGUACCUCAAAGAUACACCACGCGACAUUGGAGCCAAACAUGGACUCAAUCAUUCAAGAAGUUAUUGCAUUGACUUCCUGAUCAAAAAUCUGAACGCUAAGUAUGGACAACGCAUUGUCAUAUUGAUUGACGAAUGCGACGAAAUUUUUAGAAAAGUUUACAUGAAGGAUUCUGAUUUGUUCGAACUGUUUAGACCAACCGCUUGCACAUUCUAUAAAAUGAUGAGAAUGCAGCGUAAUAAUAUUAAUGGCAUUCAAUAUUCAUUGCCGGAAUUUCCCGACUAUCCUUAAUCUACUUUGGUAAUGGCCUGAGCAAAUCGAGUAUCCACGAGGUAACUUUCAGCAAGGACUUCUGCAGUGCUAUAGGCUUCACACUGGAAGAAAUAGAAUCGAAUUUUAAGCCACACUUGCAGCGUUUGGCCGAUCAUGAUGGAGUGAGUGUCCUGGAAAUCACUGAAAAGCUUACCAAGUGUUACACUUGGUUAGCUUUUCAGUGAUUUUCGGGAGACUCUUUCCAUCACGAUCGGCCAAACGCUGCAAGUGUGGCUUAAAAUUCGAUUCCGGGUAUAGAUUUGGUUUGGAAGAUGAUAAAAACAAAGUGUUUAUUCCUGUUUCCGUAAUCUCCUGCUUCAGAAAUAUGAAAAUUGCCGAUUAUUGGGCAGAUACGAGCAUUACUAACAUUUUAAUCGAACAGUUGAAAAAGUCUGAAAUAACCGUAGAGGAGUUUUAUCAUUAUAGGGUACCUGUUAAAGAUGUGGAAGAUAUGUAGAUGUAUAGUAACGAAUUCGGGCCUGAUGUUCCAACGGCAAUGUUAUUAUAUCAUCGCGGGUAUCUCACUAUCAAAAGAUACCAUUGUAUUUAGUCGCGACUGAUUCAUUUAUUUUACCAAUUUGGGACAACUCCUACUUCCUAAAUGCGGCCUUAUUCAGAAAAUCUAUAAAUUUUUAUUGAUUUUCUAAAUAAGGCCGCAUUUAGGAAGUACGAGUUGUCCCAAAUAGAUAAAAUAAAUGAAUCAGUCGCGACUAAGUACAUGUUGGAUACAUUAGUAAAUUACGGCCAAAAAGCCUGUCUUUCACGUUGUUUUUUUUUGUUGGUCACAAUUUCCUAAAAAAAAGUCAGUUUUUACCAAAAUUUAAAAAAAAAAUACGUUUUUUAUCAAAAUUACUUACCAGGGUCAUUCCACGUAAAUUCGACCAAAAAGUGGUAAGAGGGGGGGGGGGGUCAGCGAUUUUUUGACAUUUUUCAUGGGGAAAGACCUUCCGAAGGGAUGACCAAUUGCGCAAAUCGCAGCCCUCUAGCACGUUUCUAAAGGUUGCUAGGGGGGGUCAAAGUUGUCAGUGAACUUGAAAUAUCAUCUGUUUCAGCAGUAGAUCACUCGAUAAUUGCGAUACCUACCAAAAUGAAACUUUAUCCAAUAGUUAGGGGUUUUGAAAGACUUGUUAAUAUUUAAGAAUGAAUAAUAUGUAGGUGUACCUGUUCAUGAAGUACAUACCUAUUCAAUUCUUGU